rnacentral:rRNA from 1 species
ACAGCAGUCGCCGCGGUAAUACGAAGGGUGCAAGCGUUACUCGGAAUUACUGGGCGUAAAGCGUGCGUAGGUGGUGGUUUAAGUCCGUUGUGAAAGCCCUGGGCUCAACCUGGGAAUUGCAGUGGAUACUGGGUCACUAGAGUGUGGUAGAGGAUAGUGGAAUUUCCGGUGUAGCAGUGAAAUGCGUAGAGAUCGGAAGGAACACCUGUGGCGAAGGCGACUAUCUGGGCCAACACUGACACUGAGGCACGAAAGCGUGGGGAGCAAACAGGAUUAGAGACCCCUGUAGUCCCUGUCUCUUAUAC